rnacentral:rRNA from 1 species
UACGUAGGGAGCGAGCGUUGUCCGGAAUUACUGGGUGUAAAGGGAGCGUAGGCGGGACUGCAAGUUGGGUGUCAAAUCUACCGGCUCAACCGGUAGCCGCACUCAAAACUGCAGUUCUUGAGUGAAGUAGAGGCAGGCGGAAUUCCUAGUGUAGCGGUGAAAUGCGUAGAUAUUAGGAGGAACACCAGUGGCGAAAGCGGCUCUCUGGCCUGUAACUGACACUGAGGCUCGAAAGCGUGGGGAGCAAACAGG